UCGAGAAUCUUCGGCAAUGGGCGCAAGCCUGACCGAGCGACGCCGCGUGGAGGACGAAGGCCUUCGGGUUGCAAACUCCUGUCGAGGGGGAAGAAGGUCCGCAAGGGCUUGACUGAUCCCUGGAGGAAGCACGGGCUAAGUUCGUG
rnacentral:rRNA from 1 species